rnacentral:tRNA from 1 species
GGGCCGGUAGCUCAGCUUGGUAGAGCACCUGUAAAACAAGAUGAAAAAAAAUCAUGGUCAUCAAAGUUUGGGGUGAAACUUUUACCAACUAAGGGAGACAUCAGGUGGUCUUGGGUUCAAAUCCCAUCCGGCCCG